CAUCGCUUGAUUUGUCGGCUUUGUGUACAGAGGCAUCCUGCCCGCCAUCUGUUUGCCGAAUGCGCUUCGGUUUUGGCGUCUUCACCAUCCGGUGUUGGUUUCAUGGGUUGUCAAUUGCGAGUUCUUAAUUCUUCUCUUCUCCGUUGGUCCAUUUUUUUAUAUAGCAAAAUAUUUGAUACUUAAUAGCAGAACCGGGCACUCAAGUAUUCUGGUAUUGGGAUUCAGAUCUCUGCGACUAUGUUAUGCGUUGUUCGAUUCAUUUUUCUGAUACCAUACCUCAUGCUGAUUUUUCUAGAAUAAGAUGGAAAAGCUCACUCAAACCAAGUACUUUUGUAUUUACAUUCGGAUGUAUGCUUCUCUGAUAAGCUUUUAGUUUGCAAAAACAAAACAAAAAAAGCUUUUAUUGAUGUUGAUCUCUUUUUUUGUUUGGGCAAUGUCUCCUUUUUGUUUGACAAGCAGAGCACUCUUUAGAGAAGAAUAUAAGAUGAGGGGAUUCUCUUGGAGAUUUGGUACUUACAUAUCCUGAUGGAUACAUAUGUAUAUGAGUCAUACUGUGAUGACCAGUGUCUGAUUCAUGACUUUUCGGCAAAGGAGGUCAAGAGAAGAAAAGAAACAGAGGAACGAACAUAUUGCUCCAGGAAUGUUAGCCUUCGGGAGUACAUGCCUCAGAUGGUACAUCAAUGUCCACCUAGAGAUGACAGCAUUUCAGCAAGGGUAAGAUGCAGCAUAUUCAUGCAACCUUCUGCUGUUCUGCUACACUUCAUCUGAAAAACAUAAGAUAGUGUUUGUGUCUAGAUAUACAGGCAACUUGUUUUUUAUAUGCUGCAAAAUAAAAGCUAUCCUGCAGCAGCCAAUUUGAAUCUUGGAACACGAAAACUUGUACCUAAAAAUAAAGUGAGUUGAUACCGUGGAGUUUAUAUAAAUUACUAUAUGAAAAUUGUUUGCCUAUAUUUCCAACCAGUUGUUCUAUUAGCUCUGUACAUAUUACCCACUGAAUGCUUCAGAUUAUGAGGAGUUACCCAAUGAAUGCUUCCUAUGGCACGGUCAUGUUUGUUACUACACAGGUCAGCAUUGGCGAUGCGGUGAUAUUGUGGACAUUGGUACUAGGAAUAUUCUCUUUAUUUUGGUUUCUAUUCCAAAAAUGUUUGUACAGUGUCGCUAUUUCUCAUUUUCCUGGUUAUGCUUCCCUGUUAUUAACAUACUGUGUAAUGCUUCUUGGUGGGAUAAGCCUGUCGUUGCAGGUUCAUCAUAAUCCAUCUUUGCAAAAAAAUAUUUUCCUUUUUGCUAAAAAGCCAGAAUUCAAUAUCCAUAUGCUUGGAGCUUUUGCA